rnacentral:rRNA from 1 species
GACGAACGCUGGCGGCGUGCCUAAUACAUGCAAGUCGAGCGGACCAAAGGGAGCUUGCUCCUGGAGGUCAGCGGCGAACGGGUGAGUAACACGUGGGCAACCUGCCUGUAAGACUGGGAUAACAUCGAGAAAUCGGUGCUAAUACCGGAUAAUAAAAAGAACUGCAUGGUUCUUUUUUGAAAGAUGGUUUCGGCUAUCACUUACAGAUGGGCCCGCGGCGCAUUAGCUAGUUGGUGAGGUAACGGCUCACCAAGGCAACGAUGCGUAGCCGACCUGAGAGGGUGAUCGGCCACACUGGGACUGAGACACGGCCCAGACUCCUACGGGAGGCAGCAGUAGGGAAUCUUCCGCAAUGGACGAAAGUCUGACGGAGCAACGCCGCGUGAGUGAUGAAGGUUUUCGGAUCGUAAAACUCUGUUGUUAGGGAAGAACAAGUGCCGUUCGAAAGGGCGGCGACCUUGACGGUACCUAACGAGAAAG